ACUGUAGCACCGUGACGGGAAGAUCUCGGUUUCAAGCACUCACCAGCCACUCGACAUGUCGACACUUCAGUGAACAUCUCUCGCCCGUGUUGAAGCGCCCAGUUCGACGAAUCGGCUCGCGUUCGGCCACAAAAAAGAAGCGGCAUAGCGGUUGAGGUGAAUAUUUUUAAAGUUUGACCACAUUGGCCGCGUACUGGCACCAUGUGUGGCGUGGUUGGGAGAGCGCAGUACGAUGUCAGCAUCGUACAUCAUCAUCGACUAAUCGACGCGCAUCACAACAAUCGAAGUUCGGUAAACAGAUGACGUCAGGUUCGCGAAACGCCACCGCAGUACGUCAAGCCCCAGGAACCGGACCAGUGGCCAGUGAGGCAAAUGCUGAUCAUCACGGUAUCGACAUUUCACUCUCGGUGUGUUAAAAAUAAAUAUCAUCAAACACACGGCCGGACGAACGAGGCGAAUUGUUGCACCUGUUUUUCGGCCAUACCGAAUGCCAUUUUCGAUUUCGUUGCUUCUUCGGCGGAACUAUUGCGGGUUCGAAAAGUUGGAUCGAAAUUUUGUCGGUAAUAUGUUGAUCCGGUGCGGGAAGUCGUCGCCAGUGUAAUAUUAUCGGCCCCAGGCGGACGGAACACCCUAGCUCACGCUAACUGGCUGAAACGUUGGUGAAUAACUUCGGUACGCUGAAUGUUGGCAUCGUUCCCGGGCUGGCGGUAAUCUGACACCACGCUGAAAAUCAUCGAACUGAAGUGGUGGACCACACGACAAGCAACGGCAAACCGCAAGAUCGUGUGCGAAACCGUAAGCACAUAAAAUAUAACACCUGUACGUGGUGCGGUGUGCAUUUGAGGCGAAUCGGCAGUUGGCAGCGUACCAAGACUCAAAUGCGAUCCCUUCGUCUCCCUCGCUCGGCCGAUCUCGACCUUUUCAUUUCCUCUUUCGGUCGGGUGUGUGUGUGCUUCUUGCGCUACUAAAGGUGGGAUAGGAUAACAAGCGACGGCAACGAUGAAGUGAUAAUUGAAACGAUACUGCUAUCAAAUGCAUCGCCUCUGACACAACGCCUGUACAAAAAGACCAGCUGGUGUUAAUGAGCUGUGGCGAUGACAAGAACACGGGCAGCAUACAUUUGGCAAGAAAGCAACUGUGUUGUUUUAAUUACCGUCUAGUUAAGUCAUCUCGGCAGUUCCAGCAGGCCACCCGUGGGGAGGUUCCACCAUGACACAUGUGUAAGCGAUUCUUUGUGCGGACGCCAACGUCCCACCCCGCCCAGACACCCACGUUCGGACGCGAGGGUCCCGCGACCCGCCAGAAAAUCAUCGAUGAAAAUCAUAACCAUAAAUCAUGACCGUGAAAAUCGAAAGGCAAAAGCACCCGGGCUUGUUUAGCCAGUUGAGCUGAAAAACUAAGCAUCCGGUCGAAUCGAAACAGAGAGUGAGAGAGAAAGAGAGUGAGAAAGAGAGAGAGAGAGUGGAAAAAAUAAAAGAAAUAACACUACCAUCAGUCGGCUAGAUAAAUUGCUCUCAUUUCAUCGGACCUGUGCCAUCGAUCAUCUUUCCGUUUUCCUUCCCUGCUUCGAACGGUAACCGAUCGAGUGUUGGAAAUUCGCGUCGUGCAACCGGCGGCCUCGGGUCGUGCAAUGCGAGACAAGGCCGCACGCGAGCGUCCCGUUUAUUCGGGCGACCACCAGCCAUCAAGGGCGUCCGACGAAGAUGACAGAGAUGGUUAGUCAAUGAUGACAUCGCAGUGCUGGCAGCGGACGGAAUGCAAACGAACGUUACGAAGGUCCUGAAGCGUGUGGCCGCGUUGGUGGAGGGCUGCGAGAAGGACGCGUACCGGCGUACAAUGGCGAAGGAAAUCCGCGAAACGAUUACCCACGAAAUCUCAAUUUCGCUUUGGCAGCGGGCCGUGCCAUGGCUUGACAGCGCGUAUAAAAUUCUGCCUUGCCAUCCGCCCCGUGUGUCUCCUCAGCCAGCAGCCCGCGAUUAGCAAACAGCCGUUGAGGACGAGUUUUCCGACGGUUUCAUCGCCGACUGGUGCGGCAAACUAUGGGAAGGCUUGGUUCGAGCAGGAACGAGCCGGAAUAACACCAUCCUUUUGCGAAGCAGUUAGACAGCUUCGGGGUUCACUCGAAAACGGCAACCAGCGGACCAUGGCAACCCGGUACGAAGGGGGCGGUACGGACGGAGUGCGGGUGGUUGCUACGAACAGGCUGCAUUUAAUUAUUUCUCAUAACAACGGCUCGAGGCGUAGCGUCAGCUCGUAGCGUCGUCAGCCGGAUGUCUUGCGGUGUGUGCCGCUUUUAUUAUGCUGUCAUGUAUUUGGCGGCCGACAAAACACUCACACACUCACGUACACAAACCAACCAGGGGGUGCCUGAAGACUUGCGUGGCGAGAAAAACGGUGGGCGUGUGUAUGCGUGUGUGGGGGGUAUGAUGAGCGAUCGGUUUGUUUAAAUUGCGAGAAUCAAUUCAAAAAUAAAUACCAUUUCCGAUUUCGAUUUCGAUCCGGUUGGUGGGAAAAGGAGUCACCGAGUAAAACUGAAAAGUGAGAAAUGGAAAUUCAUUUCCGUCAAAAUAAGGUUGGUUUACGAAAAAAAAGUGCAUUGCGCUGAGAACCGUUUGCUGUGAGUCUGCGAGCGAAAUGGACGGCAGGAAGGUGAAAUGUGAUUUAAAAAUAAGCUUCAAAAAAAGGGUCGUAACUGUUCGCUCAUUUCGGUACGAUUCAUGUACAUUCACUUCUAUAUUAGCAGACGUUUUUUUGGAACUAAAUUGUGCGCACAGAAGCAUCUGAAAUUGGUGAUAUUCGAAGGUUUGAGUAUUUUCCAAUUAAAAACCAUUGAGCUGAUAACAGCAAUACAAAGCGCAAACUUAAUAGGUCAACAGAAAUAUCAAGUGGCGUUGAGGGAAAAUUGAAUUCAAUAAAAAAAAAUGAUAGCUUUUAGAAAAACUGAUAUACUAUCUUGAACAAAACAGGAUCUAUAAGUUUUUAUAGUCUCAACAAAUUUAAAUAAUUUAAAAUCCUCUUCAAAUGAUUCACUAAAUGUAAUCUUUUCUCGGAGAUCUUCAGCGCUCCUCGGAGACUCAAAUACUCUGGCAAAAAAAAGAUGAAACUUAUUCUUUAACUCAUUUUUCAGUUAACCCUAUGUUAUUAUAAAAUUAAAAAAAUAAUAAAUAAAAGAAAAUAAAGAUUUCCUUAAAGAGAGUUGCAAUGGUUAUAAAACAGGUGUAUCGAAUUGUGAUGAUAUUGGGUAGCUCGGAGUUUUUAAACGCUUUUCGAGCCAUUUUUGAUUUAGUUCA